rnacentral:rRNA from 1 species
AUUGAACGCUGGCGGCAGGCCUAACACAUGCAAGUCGCAUGAGUGGCGGACGGGUGAGUAAUGUCUGGGAAACUGCCCGAUGGAGGGGGAUAACUACUGGAAACGGUAGCUAAUACCGCAUACCAUCGGAUGUGCCCAGAUGGGAUUAGCUAGUAGGUGGGGUAACGGCUCACCUAGGCGACGAUCCCUAGCUGGUCUGAGAGGAUGACCAGGCACACUGGAACUGAGACACGGUCCAGACAGCUCAGGGUGACAGCAGUUGGGAAUAUUGCACAAUGGGCGAAAGCCUGCUGCAGCCAUGCGGCAUGUAGGAAGAAGGCCUUAGGGUUGUAAAAUACUUUCAGCGAGGAGGCGGUACUCGCAGAAGAAGAACCUGCUAACUGCAUGCCAGCAGCCGCGGUAAUUC